AUUGAACGCUGGCGGCAGGCCUAACACAUGCAAGUCGAGCGGAGCGGCGGACGGGUAAGUAAUGCCUAGGAAUCUGCCUGUUGGUGGGGGAUCACGUCCGGAAACGGGCGCUAAUGCCGCAUACUAUCAAAUGAGCCUAGGUCGGAUUAGCUAGUGGGGGGGGUAAAGGCCUACCAAGGCGACGAUCCGUAACUGGUCUGAGAGGAUGAUCAGUCACACUGGAACUGAGACACGGUCCAGCCUCUGACGGGAGGCAGCAGUGGGGAAUAUUGGACAAUGGGCGAAAGCCGGAUCCAGCCAUGCCGCGUGUGUGAAGAAGGUCUUCGGACUGUAAAGCCCUUUAAGUUGGGAGGCGUUACCAACAGAAUAAGCAACGGCUAACUUCGUGCCAGCAGCCGCGGUAAUUC
rnacentral:rRNA from 1 species